rnacentral:rRNA from 1 species
CUACGACGUUGAUAGGCAGGGUGUGUAAGCGCUGUGAGGCGUUGAGCUAACCUGUACUAAUUGCCCGUGAGGCUUGACCAUAUAACACCCAAGCAAUU